ensembl:lncRNA LINC01010 long intergenic non-protein coding RNA 1010
ACACAAGGAAAGUCUGAGGCAGACUAUGGAGGAAGACGAGCUGGGAGAGAAAGGCUGGAGUGCAGUGGUGCACACGCCUCACACUGUGACACAGCGGGAGAGCCCAGAGCGACAGCUGUUGGAAUGACUGCACUCUUCCUGCUCAAGUCUGACCUUUCCAAGCCUUUGUCCUAUGUCUGGAGACUUCUUGGAAGCUGGAGCACACAAAUAGCUACAGCAAACUUGAGGAAUGGGCAUGAAUAGACUGGCUUCGGGGAACCUGCCAGCUUGGCCGUGUGGCCAAGGUAAUAGGCAAGCCAAGGCAGAGCUAGAGCUCAGAGCUGGAGGGGAAAUUAAAGCAGCAAAUGUAGAAACAUUAAGCCUGAAGAGGCGACGACGUUGAAUUCUAAAAUGCAGGCCAAAGCUCAGACUGCAAGCUGUCUGGCUGCUCCGGGUGUGCCCAGAAGUCAAAGUCCAGCAGGGGCAAAGGUGGAGGUGUGGUCCUGCACGUGGGGUGUUGGGGGGAUGUGGAAGAGGAGGUGCUUUAAGAUCCAGAGAUUCCAGCUGCCCUGGUGCACCCUUGGAAGAAUAAAAGGCUAGGAACUGGACAAGUCAGGCUCGAGUCCAAGCUGCCUGAGGAAUCGGGGAAAGAAUGGAGCUCAGAGUGGGAGGUCAGGGCAGUAUUUAAAAAUCCAGGAUAGCAGCAAAGCUGGCGGUGGCCCCUGACUCUGGUAAGGGCAGCCUGCAGCACCAUGCCAAGGGGGGCCUGACUGAUCAUGCCCUGCAUUUGCAAACAAGGAUUAGUAGGGUAUGAGUAGGAUUCUGCUGGUGCCUGGGAAGGCAGUGCCAUCUACAACUUUACAAAGUUUUAACAAAGGCCUGAAGGACACAACCUUCCCCAAAGUCCUGACGUCGCUGUUUGCUGGCAACAAAUAGAGUCAAAAGAAGAGAGGCACAGAAUGUGCCAGGGGUGUGCUGCGUACAGCCCCGAUGACCACAAGGCCUUCUUGGGUCAAGUUCUGCCAUCUCUGGUUAAGAUGGGCUCACCCUCUAGGACCCUGAUUGAGUCCUCGGACCACCAAGAGUGCCCCACCAAGAGCCUCCCUCUUCUGGUGACUCGUGCCUGCUUCCCGUGGAGAGCUCCAGAAGGGAGGAAACUGUGAGGAGGUGGAGAACGUGGCAGGGAUCCUAACUUUCUUACUGAAGGAAGUUCUUCACAAGUACCCAUCUGCCUUCAGGGAAGAAAACAUAACUCAUUUUGGUCUUUCAAAUUCAGUUCUCAAAACCAAAUCCUGUUGUCAGCAAUCUGUGUCCCAACGCCUUCUUCAGCAACAGCAUUUUCCCUGUGGAAUUAGUUUCCAAUGUUCUUUCUUAAAUAAACCACUGAAGAUUAAAAGGAAUCCAGAUACCCACCACAUUUUGUUUCCUUAAUGAGUAAUUAUCACAUUUCUUUGGCUACUUAAAUGCAUUCUCUGAGUCAGGUAAAGGAGAUCGUAAUAGUUAAUCAACAAGAAGUAAUUCUUGGGUACUUAACAAUAGUCUAAGCACUUAAUCAUACUUAAAAUUGACUAUUAAUGAACCUUAUAAACCAUUUUGCAAUUCUGAAAGUGAAUUUCUCUGCAGGCUUAGAGAUUACUAAGCCAUUUAGAUCUUACCAAACAAA